rnacentral:rRNA from 1 species
AUUGAACGCUGGCGGCAUGCCUUACACAUGCAAGUCGAACGGUAACGCGGGGCAACCUGGCGACGAGUGGCGAACGGGUGAGUAAUGCAUCGGAACGUGCCCAGUAGUGGGGGAUAGCCCGGCGAAAGCCGGAUUAAUACCGCAUACGACCUACGGGUGAAAGGGGGGGAUCGCAAGACCUCUCGCUAUUGGAGCGGCCGAUGUCAGAUUAGGUAGUUGGUGGGGUAAAGGCCCACCAAGCCGACGAUCUGUAGCUGGUCUGAGAGGACGACCAGCCACACUGGGACUGAGACACGGCCCAGACUCCUACGGGAGGCAGCAGUGGGGAAUUUUGGACAAUGGGCGCAAGCCUGAUCCAGCCAUGCCGCGUGCGGGAAGAAGGCCUUCGGGUUGUAAACCGCCUUUGUCAGGGAAGAAAUCUUUUGAGUUAAUAUCUCGGAAGGAUGACGGUACCUGAAGAAUAAGCACCGGCUAACUACGUGCCAGCCGCCGCCGUAAAAC